UUUCUUUGAAGCGUUCUAUGUGAGCUAUUCGGCAAGACAGCAGCAGCCCCCAGCAGCCAGGGUCAGGAAAAUCUGGGAGGGUUCGC
rnacentral:lncRNA from 1 species